rnacentral:rRNA from 1 species
AGUGAACGCUGGCGGUAGGCCUAACACAUGCAAGUCGAACGGCAGCACAAGAGAGCUUGCUCUCUGGGUGGCGAGUGGCGGACGGGUGAGGAAUACAUCGGAAUCUACCUUUUCGUGGGGGAUAACGUAGGGAAACUUACGCUAAUACCGCAUACGACCUUCGGGUGAAAGCAGGGGACCUUCGGGCCUUGCGCGGAUAGAUGAGCCGAUGUCGGAUUAGCUAGUUGGCGGGGUAAAGGCCCACCAAGGCGACGAUCCGUAGCUGGUCUGAGAGGAGGAUCAGCCCCACGGGAACUGAGACACGGUCCAGACUCCUACGGGAGGCAGCAGUGGGGAAUAUUGGACAAUGGGCGCAAGCCUGAUCCAGCCAUACCGCGUGGGUGAAGAAGGCCUUCGGGUUGUAAAGCCCUUUUGUUGGGAAAGAAAAGCAGCCAGUUAAUACCUGGUUGUUCUGACGGUACCCAAAGAAUAAGCACCGGCUAACUUCGUGCCAGCAGCCGCAGUAA